rfam:Burkholderia ubonensis strain MSMB782WGS MSMB782WGS_26, whole genome shotgun sequence.
GCGCGCUUCGGAGAUGGCAUGCCUCCCCGGGGUCCGGGCUUGCUCGCCACGAGCACGCACAGGCCCUCAACCGCCGGUCGUCCGGCUGAUGAUGCCUGCGCAUUC